UACGUAGGGAGCAAGCGUUAUCCGGAUUUACUGGGUGUAAAGGGCGCGCAGGCGGGCCGGCAAGUUGGGAGUGAAAUCCCGGGGCUUAACCCCGGAACUGCUUUCAAAACUGCUGGUCUUGAGUGAUGGAGAGGCAGGCGGUAUUCCGUGUGUAGCGGUGAAAUGCGUAGAUAUACGGAGGAACACCAGUGGCGAAGGCGGCCUGCUGGACAUUAACUGACGCUGAGGCGCGAAAGCGUGGGGAGCAAACAGG
rnacentral:rRNA from 1 species